rnacentral:misc_RNA from 1 species
GAUGAAGAACGUAGCGAAAUGCGAUAAGUAAUGUGAAUUGCAGAAUUUAGUGAAUCAUCGAAUCUUUGAACGCAUAUUGCGCCCGCCAGCACUCUGGCGGGCAUGCCUGUUCGAGCGUCAUUUCAACCCUCAGGCCUCGUGUCUGGCGUUGGGGCGCUGCGGCCCUCCCGCAGGCCCCCGAAUAUAGCGGCGGACCCGUCCGGCCCUGAGCGCAGAGGGAGUAAACUCGAACGCUCCGGCGGCCGUGGCGCGGUUAUUCCUUCCGCCUUGUAGCGCUAAUGGCGCCACCCCCCAAUAAGUUGACCUCGGAUCAGGUAGGACUACCCGCUGAACUUAAGCAUAUCAAUAAGCGGAGGA